GGAGGGGCGGGAGGGGAGCCCCGGCAGCCGGCCGCCCGCACCGAGGGGCGGCCCUUUUGUCCUCAGCAGCCCGAGUCGAGGGAGAGCAAGGUGUCAUGCAGCCUGAUGGUGUGAUGCCGCCGCUCCCGGAGAGAGUAUUGAUAGAAUGAAGCUCCUGGAACAAAGAAUUUGCCAUGUGGAUGCUGUGCCCUGUGCCAACUUUACUUUAAUCCUUGCGUUCACUUACAGUCAGGCAAUCACUUAAAUAUGCAUACACAGCCGAUAUGAGAAUGUUAACCAGACGGUAUUAGGCCAGUACCUGCAUUUAUUUUGUUUUACAUUUCCUGCAGCACUUCACAAACAUGUUAGCUAGAAGAUAAUGCAUGUGAAGUAAUUAUCAUUAAAAGUCUGCAUCUGUAUUUAUUAUUA